AGGGGGCCCAGAGAAAGGGCCGCCGCUCCGGGAGGGUCUCCCCAUCAGCAUCCGAGGGGCGCUCUCGGAGAGCACGGGGUAGCGCCCCCGUCUCCCUGCCUCCUUCCCUCCCCGCCUCCCCUCUCCUCUCUCCUCUUUUGUUGCCUAUACUCUCGGACACGACACAGCCUUUGCUGUUUCCCCCCUCCCACUUGGGAGCUGGCAGUGUGGACGCAGAGCGAACACAACAGAUCUCUGGAAGAAGCAUGGUCGGAUGCAUCUCAAAAUGAACAAGCUUACAGGGAGUCGACCCAGGACCCAAGUGGACCUCAUCAGAGAUGCUCUGGGAGCUUUGGAAGGACGGGCAUGGCACUCAGCCUGCCAGGAGGGAAACAAGCCGAAGGGAUGCACCUGGGAGAGGCUGCGGCUGGGGGCUGGGGCUUGAUUCUCAUCCCUGCUCCCCCACUUCCCCCGCCGGGGUCUGCACCCGCGCCAGACUUCCCCAGGGCUUCGUGUUCUGAGGGACCCCUCCUGCCUGUCCCCCUGCACACACGGACCCAAAGGGCUUCUCAGCCCCAUGGAGUCCUCUGGGCUCCUUGGCCUGGUCUCACCUGCUGAUAACAGGAAGCACAGAGGGCUGAAGACUGGAAGAAGUGAGGGCAAAACAAAGCAAUGUUAAGGCUAGCUCUCCUUGUUGCAAGAAGAAAUG